UACGAGAGGCCCAAACGUUAUUCGGAAUUACUGGGCUUAAAGAGUUCGUAGGCGGCGCAGAAAGUAGGGUGUGAAAGCCCUCGGCUUAACCGAGGAAUUGCGCUCUAAACUACUGUGCUUGAGGAACCUAGAGGUGAGCAGAACAGAUGGUGGAGCGGUGAAAUGCGUUGAUAUCAUCUGGAAUACCGGAGGCGAAGGGCGGCUCACUGGGGGUUUUCUGACGCUGAGGAACGAAAGCCAGGG
rnacentral:rRNA from 1 species